rnacentral:lncRNA from 1 species
AAACAUCACACUUAGAAUUUGAUACAUGACAUCAAGGUUAUUCGAUGAUACAAUUCCGAUAAACUAAUUGUUUUUUUAUACAACUGACCAUCCUACAUAAACAUGACCUCUAUACAGCGGAGCGACUCGAAGUAGAAGUCUAAAAGAUGCCAUUAGCUACAUCACGAGUCAAAAUUUGUUGAGGCAAUACACAAGAGCUAAUUACUUAUCUGCAAAAAGGAGAAGAUAAGGGGGGUGAGUCUCACAGACUCAGUGAUCAUCAGCUCUGUGAGUAGGGAGUAGUUGUGAAACAAGCUAGAGAUAGAAAAUUUCAAUAUUAAGAACAUAUGAAUAGAUAAACAAUUUAAACUCAAAUGGAACAUUUGUGCCUUACAUAUAUACCAAAGAAUUGUGAUGCAAAAUAACCAUUUUAAGUAAUACAUUAAAAUCAGUGCAGUUAAAAGAUUUCUACCGUCGAAAUCAUUUAAUGUCCUUUACACAAAAUCAAACUAACAUAGACACGCACGCUCCUGUAAAAUCAAGCCAUGUCAAUGCUUAUACACAUGCAUAUAAACGAACUCAUACUUGAGGUAUAAAACACAAGACCAUCAUCUAACUAAGGGAGUUGUGGACAAACCGGUAUUUCUAACCAUGCGAAAGAAUACGUAUUUGAAAACCCAAAGAGAUAUCAUUCUCGAGUAGGUAAUCAUAAAUAAUCAACCCGUGGACCCUCUUCCAUGUAGUAACAUCCAGAAGGCCCCCUUCCAGUUGAUUCCUGUCAUGACCCGAAACUCCCAUCGAGCCCGUGACA